CCUGUGAGGUCUUUCUGACUCUGAGCAGCUAUGAUGCUGUGAUUAACCUCACAAAUGCAUAAUGGAUCUUGAGGUCCUUUCCCGGCAGAGAUGUUGGGGAACUAAUGCAACCCCCUGCCUUUUCUCUUAAGCUGCCUUCAGGGCUGAUAUCAUGGGUUGGUCAACUGCCUGAGAUUUCUUCCUCUAUCUGGGGUUAGCAAGACACCUAAAAGCAGAAGCAACUGAGGCCCAGAGGAGCAAAGGCCCCCAAGCAAGGUCUCCAGCAGGCUGGGAGCACGGUGGAAAUGGAGCCCGCUCCCCUGUCUUCCACUGCCUGUUUAAGAGAAGAGCAGCCGCGAGGCCCUGGGCUGGUCUCGGGGGUGAGCUCUGCUGUGGAUACCCGCCAUGGCUUGUCUUCCCCGCCCACAGAUAAAUGCAACCUUUCUCUUCUA
rnacentral:lncRNA from 1 species